GCCAGCAGCCAUAUCACCCUGCAGCCCAAAACUGGUUGCCCACUGAAGCUAAGCAGGGUUGAGCCUGGUCAGUACCUGGAUAGGAGACCUCCUGGGAAAACUAGGUUGCUGCCGGAA
rnacentral:rRNA from 1 species